AUUGAACGCUGGCGGCAGGCCUAACACAUGCAAGUCGAGCGGAGCGGCGGACGGGUGAGUAAUGCCUAGGAAUCUGCCUGGUAGUGGGGGAUCACGUCCGGCAACGGGCGCUAAUACCGCAUACUAGCAGAUUAGCCUAGGUCGGAUUAGCUAGUUGGUGGGGGAAAGGCCUACCAAGGCGACGAGCGGUAACUGGUCUGAGAGGAUGAACAGUCACACUGGGACUGAGACACGGCCCAGACUCCUACGGGAGGCAGCAGUGGGGAAUAUUCGACAAUGGGCGAAAGUCUGACCGAGCCAUGCCGCGUGUGUGAAGAAGGUCUUCGGAUUGUAAAGCACUGUAAGUUGGGAGGCGGUACCAACAGAAUAAGCACCGGCUAACUUCGUGCCAGCAGCCGCGGUAAUAC
rnacentral:rRNA from 1 species